rnacentral:rRNA from 1 species
ACACGACUACGAGUUUGAUCCUGGUUCAGGAUGAACGCUAGCGGCAGGCCUAAUACAUGCAAGUCGAACGGAUAUAUGUUUUUCGGAAUAUAUAUUAGUGGCGCACGGGUGAGUAACACGUACAUAACUUGCCCUCAAGCGGGGGAUAGCCUUGGGAAACUGAGAGUAAUACCCCAUAGAAUUAUUGGACGGCAUCGUUUGAUAAUUAAAACUACGGUGCUUGGGGAUAGAUGUGCGUCUGAUUAGCUAGUUGGUGAGGUAACUGCUCACCAAGGCGACGAUCAGUAGGGGGCGUGAGAGCGUGGCCCCCCACACGGGUACUGAGACACGGACCCGACUCCUACGGGAGGCAGCAGUAAGGAAUAUUGGUCAAUGGAGGGAACUCUGAACCAGCCAUGCCGCGUGAAGGAUGACGGCCCUCUGGGUUGUAAACUUCUUUUGGAUGGGGCGAAAAAACGGGAUUUAUCCUGGACUGACGGUACCAUCAGAAUAAGCACCGGCUAACUCCGUG